rnacentral:rRNA from 1 species
UUUCGUCACACUAUCAUUAACUGAAUCCAUAGGUUAAUGAGGCGAACCGGGGGAACUGAAACAUCUAAGUACCCCGAGGAAAAGAAAUCAACCGAGAUUCCCCCAGUAGCGGCGAGCGAACGGGGAGGAGCCCAGAGCCUGAAUCAGUGUGUGUGUUAGUGGAAGCGUCUGGAAAGGCGCGCGAUACAGGGUGACAGCCCCGUACACAAAAAUGCACAUAUUGUGAGCUCGAUGAGUAGGGCGGGACACGUGGUAUCCUGUCUGAAUAUGGGGGGACCAUCCUCCAAGGCUAAAUACUCCUGACUGACCGAUAGUGAACCAGUACCGUGAGGGAAAGGCGAAAAGAAC